rnacentral:rRNA from 1 species
AUGCAUGUCUAAGUUCACACUGUCUCACGGUGAAACCGCGAAUGGCUCAUUAAAUCAGUCGAGGUUCCUUAGAUGACACGAUCCUACUUGGAUAACUGUGGCAAUUCUAGAGCUAAUACAUGCUUAUCAAGCUCCGACCUUUUAGGAAAGAGCGCUUUUAUUAGUUCAAAACCAAUCGCGGUCUCUCUUCGGAGGGCCGCGUCCCUUUUGGUGACUCUGGAUAACUUUGUGCUGAUCGCAUGGCCCCGCGCCGGCGACGCAUCUUUCAAAUGUCUGCCCUAUCAAAUGUCGAUGGUACGUGAUAUGCCUACCAUGUUUGCAACGGGUAACGGGGAAUCAGGGUUCGAUUCCGGAGAGGGAGCAUGAGAAACGGCUACC